AGGCUUCGUGGACCCUCAGGACUUGCUAUCACUUCGCUGCAAACGCAGCCAUGUAGCAAAACAAAGCCUAUCUAAACAGGACGUGCCCUUUCUGCCAUGCAGUUGCUCUCCAUGGGCUCUCUGCUUGCAGCAACGCUUGGGGGCUCAGGUGUCUGCCCUGUUUCACUUCUUGUUUUUAUAUUUAUCUCCUUUUAGAAUUGCUGUCAUUUGCCUGAUUGUGUUCAAGGAAGGAAAACCCAAAAUACUACUUAGCAGGAGAGGAGGCGAGAUCACGACCAUCCACAGUGUCAGUUGGGCUGGCAAAGUCUUUACUUAAUGUUAGGGCUCUUGGUUCUCACUUUAGAGAAGUGAAUUAGUGAAAACCAUCAAGAGUUGUGGAGCCUGUCACCCUGGUUUGAACUCUGGCUUCUCUACAGCUGUCACUGGCCCACUUCUCCGGGCUUUCAUUUUUCCAACUGAGAAAUGGAGGAGUUCUCACCCAACACUGCUGCAGUGGGAAAUGGCUGACUGCCCCAGCGCUACCGGGCGCAGAGCUCUUUCGGGGGAUGGAAAUGGCGGCGGCACAAGCUUUUCACUUCAAGAUUUGAGGGUUCCGCCUGGCAGCGACUGUCUAGCAUGAAGCUCCUUUCCCAAAAGCAGAUGUCAGAGGAAGGACUCCAUUCUGUACAAGAUCCUCUCGCCGGGGUCAUAUGAUAAGGCAGUCUUAACAGAUAUUUGCAUGGAGGAAGUAUGACAAUUUUCAUAGGCCUUUGGCCGGAAAGAAAUUGUAGUUACACCUAAAAACCUGUAUGCUUUAGGAAGGUAAUUUUUAUCUUUUUCGACAUCUGAACCCUAUCUAAAAUAGGAUAUUAAAACAAGCCUCAUGCUUUGUUUGUUGCUUCCUCUUCUUCUUUCAGUUGUUUUGAUAGGUGUAUGUUCGUUUCUUGGAGUCACGGUCUUAGGAUACAGCCCGGGCUGGCUUAGAACUCACUAUGUUGCCCAAGCUGGCCCUCAACCCUUGACAGUUUUCCUCCCUCCGUCUCCUGAGUAAUCAGAUUACAAGUGUAAGCCAAGGCACCUGCCUUUUAUUUUGUUUUUGUGAGUGUACAGGCAUAUCUGUAUACACAUGUCCAAAUGCAUGCGGGCAUAUAUGUAUGUGUCUGUGUGCACAUGUGCACGUGUGCAUAUGCAUGCAUGCACAUGUGGAGGCCAGCACUGAACUGAAGUUUACCUUUUUGCCUUAUUUAUUUAUUAAACAGGAUCUUUACUUUCUUUAUUAGAAAAAAAAAAAAAAAGCUUACCUUUUUGCCUUUGGACUAGAGAGAUGACUCAGCGGUUAAGAACAUUGACUGCUCUUCUGGAGGCCCUGAGUUCAAAUCCUAGCAAACACAUGGUGGCUCAUAACCAUUCAUAAUGAGAUCUGAUGCCCUCUUCUGGUGUGUCUGUAGACAGCGGCAGUGUACUUACAUAUAAUAAAUAAAUAAAUAAAUAAAUCAUUGGGCUGGAGUGAGCAGGGCCAGAGUGAGAAAGGGGAAAAAAAAAAAAAAAAAAGAUUGCCUUUAGUUUCAGCACUUGGGAGGCAGAUGCAACCAGAUCUCUGAGUUCAAGGCCAGCCUGGUCUACAAAGCUAGUUCCAGGACAGCCAGGGCUACACAGAGAAUCCCUGUCUCGGAAAAAAAAAAAAGGAAAAAAAAAAGAAAAAAAUUUUUUACUUGUAUGGUUAUUUUUUCUGCCCAUAUAUGCGUAUGUAUGUAUGUAUGUAUGUAUGUAUGUAUGUAUGUACAUCAUGUGUGUAGUACCCUGAGAGGCCUGAAGAGGGCGCUGGAUCCCCUGGAACUGGAAUUAAGAGAUGAUCCUGAGCCACACCGCAGAUGCUUGGGAUGAACUCUCGUCCUCAUUCCACCAGCAAAGAUUUUACGCAAUGAGACAUUGCUGGAGAUGUCCCCAGCCCAGGGUCCUACCGCACUGCUUCGUUACACUGUGGCUACUCACUGGUGGUUUACAUUUUCAUGGCUUUCUCGCAGGAUGUGGGGAUAGCUUCUCUGUUGGGAGGACCACUUCAGAGCCAUCAAUCACCUCUGAUGAGAGCAGGCUGGUUCUGGGUGCCAGAGCCCUUCCACUUGGUUUUGCACCUCUGCCUGGCUCCUUGGAGUGAGCUCUUUGGCCGUUUUAUU
rnacentral:lncRNA from 1 species